GCUGGCGGCAGGCCUAACACAUGCAAGUCGAACGGAGUUAUAUUGUAGCUUGCUAUGGUAUAACUUAGUGGCAGACGGGUGAGUAAUGUAUAGGAAUCUACCUAGUAGUACGGAAUAAUUGUUGGAAACGGCAACUAAUACCGUAUACGCCCUACGGGGGAAAAAUUUAUUGCUAUUAGAUGAGCCUAUAUUAGAUUAGCUAGUUGGUGGAGUAAUAGCCUACCAAGGCAAUGAUCUAUAGCUGAUCUGAGAGGAUGAUCAGCCACACUGGAACUGAGAUACGGUCCAGACUCCUACGGGAGGCAGCAGUGGGGAAUAUUGGACAAUGGGCGAAAGCCUGAUCCAGCCAUGCCGCAUGAGUGAAGAAGGCCUUUGGGUUGUAAAGCUCUUUUAGUGAGGAAGAUAAUGACGGUACUCACAGAAGAAGUCCUGGCUAACUCCGUGCCAGCAGCCGCGGUAAUACGGAGAGGGCUAGCGUUAUUCGGAAUUAUUGGGCGUAAAGGGCGCGUAGGCGGAUUAGUAAGUUAAAAGUGAAAUCCCAAGGCUCAACCUUGGAAUUGCUUUUAAAACUGCUAAUCUAGAGAUUGAAAGAGGAUAGAGGAAUUCCUAGUGUAGAGGUGAAAUUCGUAAAUAUUAGGAGGAACACCAGUGGCGAAGGCGUCUAUCUGGUUCAAAUCUGACGCUGAGGCGCGAAAGCGUGGGGAGCAAACAGGAUUAGAUACCCUGGUAGUCCACGCUGUAAACGAUGAAUGUUAAAUAUGGGAAGUUUUACUUUCUGUAUUACAGCUAA
rnacentral:rRNA from 1 species